rnacentral:rRNA from 1 species
AACGCUAGCUACAGGCUUAACACAUGCAAGUCGAGGGGCAGCAUGGUCUUAGCUUGCUAAGGCCGAUGGCGACCGGCGCACGGGUGAGUAACACGUAUCUAACCUGCCGUCUACUCUUGGACAGCCUUCUGAAAGGAAGAUUAAUACAAGAUGGCAUCAUGAGUCCGCAUGUUCACAUGAUUAAAGGUAUUCCGGUAGACGAUGGGGAUGCGUUCCAUUAGAUAGUAGGCGGGGUAACGGCCCACCUAGUCUUCGAUGGAUAGGGGUUCUGAGAGGAAGGUCCCCCACAUUGGAACUGAGACACGGUCCAAACUCCUACGGGAGACAGCAGUGAGGAAUAUUGGUCAAUGGGCGAGAGCCUGAACCAGCCAAGUAGCGUGAAGGAUGACUGCCCUAUGGGUUGUAAACUUCUUUUAUAAAGGAAUAAAGUCGGGUAUGGAUACCCGUUUGCAUGUACUUUAUGAAUAAGGACCGGCUAACUCCGUGCCAGCAGCCGCGGUAAUACGGAGGAUCCGAGCGUUAUCCGGAUUUAUUGGGUUUAAAGGGAGCGUAGAUGGAUGUUUAAGUCAGUUGUGAAAGUUUGCGGCUCAACCGUAAAAUUGCAGUUGAUACUGGAUAUCUUGAGUGCAGUUGAGGCAGGCGGAAUUCGUGGUGUAGCGGUGAAAUGCUUAGAUAUCACGAAGAACUCCGAUUG